rnacentral:rRNA from 1 species
GACGAACGCUGGCGGCGUGCCUAACACAUGCAAGUCGAGCGGAGAUAUCUAGCAAUAGAUAUUUUAGCGGCGGACGGGUGAGUAACGCGUGGGUAACCUGCCUUAUACAGGGGGAUAACACAGGGAAACUUGUGCUAAUACCGCAUAACACAGUUGAUUGGCAUCAAUUGACUGUCAAAGGAGCAAUCCGGUAUAAGAUGGACCCGCGUCCAAGUAGCUAGUUGGCGGGGUAAUGGCCCACCAAGGCGACGAUUGGUAGCCGAACUGAGGGGUGGGUCGGCCACAUUGGGACUGAGACACGGCCCAGACUCCUACGGGAGGCAGCAGUGGGGAAUAUUGCGCAAUGGGGGAAACCCUGACGCAGCAACGCCGCGUGAAGGAUGAAGGUUUUCGGAUCGUAAACUUCUUUGAUGAGGGAGGAAAAAAUGACGGUACCUCAAAAACAAGCCACGGCUAACUACGUGCCAGCCGCCGCAGUAAAAC